GAUUCAGUAUUUGUGUAUAUUGCAAAACAGUCACCACAAUAGCCUAGUUAACAGGCACCACGUGUGGUCACAGAGUUUUCUCCUUGUCCUGAGCACUUCUAAGGUUUAGUCUUAGCAGCUUUCAAUUGGAACUUUGAACCCUUUCUUUUGGGGCUUCCCUGGUAGCUCAGACUGUAAACCAUCUGCCUGCAAUGCAGGAGACCUGGGUUCAAUCCCUUGUUUGGGAAGAUUCCCCUGGAGGAAGGCAUGACAACCCACUCCAGUAUUCUUGCCUGGAGAAUUCCAUGGACAGAGGAGCCUGGCAGGUUGGGGUCACAAAAGAGUCAGACAGGACUCAGCGACUAAAGAACAACAACAUUGGACGCUCAGCUUGACUCCGUAUCUUCAUUCUGUGAACAGUGCUGCACAGGGAUGCAGAUUUUUUUUCAAGUUAAUAUUUUUGUUUUCUUUGGAUAAACACCCAGAAGUGGAGUUAAUGGAUCAUAUGGUAGUUCUGUUUUUAAUUUUUUGAGGGCCCUCCAUGCUCUUUUCCCCUUCUGUACUUCUUUAAUCUUAAAAGAUGAAGUGGGGACUUCCUUAGCUGUCCAGUGGUUAAGAAUCUGCCUGUCAACGCAGGGGACAUGGGUUCAAUCCCUGGUCCAGGAAGAUUCCGCGUGCCUGAGAGCAACGAAGCCCACAUGCUGCAAAUUCGGAAGCCGGUAAGCCUAGAGCUGUGCGUCCUGACGAGAAGGUGCCGCAGUGAUGAGAAGCCCCCGCUUACCCAGACUGGAGAGAGCCCACACAGAGCAACAAAGACCCAGUGCGACCAAAAAAGCCAGAGUUAACCCAGGCUCUCUUCCCCAGAAGCAAGCUUGAUCAUCCUUUAAGUCCUGAGAAUCUACAAGCAAAUUCCUGCAACUCCCGGACCUGCCCUGUUUUGAGCACUGUCCUAAAGUUGAGGACAUCUGGACGGUGCUCGUGUCAACAACCGCGGGGCACCCUCCCGUCCCCAGGCGGUUCUGCCCCAGUGUCUUCAACAAGCUGAUGUAGGAUAAUGUAAGUGUUGUUUUCAGGUUAGGGCAUUUUGCUGCGUCUGUAUGAAUUUUUUUCUUUUUACUUUUUUGCUGUGUAAGGCAUUUUGUCCUGUUUUGUAAUUGGUGGUUGUGAUUUCCAAUUAGAGAUCAGUUAUUUUUUCUUCCAGGUUCAUUUUUCAGUUUUAAAAAGCACAGGAAAAAAGAAUGAGAAAUUGACAGAACAAAGAGCGCUGUCUUGCAAGAGUAGUUGGGGGUGGCUGCGUGGUGCUUAAACAGGAAGAGAGCUGUCUGGAAGCCAGCUCUGGCCAGCCUCUGGGACCCAGUCAACCAGCUCCCACGUGGGAGCUCAGACAGAUUCCUCGUCUGGCUGGCAUCAUGAAAGAUUCAUUGUCUUCUCCCCAGAAAGUGAUGCGUGUUCUUCCUUAUAUAGUGAUGCCAUUAUACUAAGCACAAAACAAACCACAGUGCAGAAAUACUGGCAGUUCAUUUCAGCCUUUCGGGAAGUCCAGAGUGCGGCUUUCUCCUAAGAUUUCUGUCUAAAGCUGUAAUGAUUCUUUCGGUAGUUGAUGAUAUGGAAUCGC
ensembl:lncRNA